GCUGACACAUCACCAGUAGGAGGCAUUUCCUUCUCUUAUUGACUGUGCAUGUGACCUCAUAGACCCAAUAUAACCAGCAGGACCGAGAGAAAGUGCAGAGUGCAGGAGAAGUAGUGGGAGUGCAGGAUGUGAUCAUGUAUAAUAAAAACUUGUGCUCACAAGUUACUGUGUGCUUUGUUGAACAAUGAACUACUGUUUGACGAGGUAGUGGCCAGAAACGCCUGAAGACCUGGGAUAAGAUAUGCAAACUGAGGCCUAAAUUGCAAGACUUGGGAUGGAAAUGCCAAUCAUAUCCAGAGAAAACUAAAGACUGAAUAUGGAUACAAGCAUACUAUUUUAUUUUUUGUUGUUUUUCCCCACCCUUUUGGGUCUGAUUUUUCUUGUACAUAAAUAUGAAAGUAUAUUUAAAAGAACUGCACAUAUUUAAUCUCUUAUCAGAUUGCUUGCUAUCUUGGGGAGGGUAAAGGGAGAAAAUUUAGAAUAUAGUUUUAUAAAAAUUAAUGUUGGAAAGUAUCUUUACAUGUAUCUGGAAGAAACCCAAAGGCCUAGAAAAGUUAUGAAAAUCUCACCAGUAAUAAAUGGCAAAUGCAGAAUUCAAGUUCAGAUCUUCUAUCUCCAAGUCUAGCACUAAGCUGACACCAUUUCAUAUUGCAGUUUGAUUUAAUGGACUCCCCCAAAGAACCCAGAUUUCUGGAC